AACACCAAAAGGCAAAGAGGGGGAAAAAAAUUCCUGUAACUUGCCGCUUAUCUGACAAGCGUGAAUUGUUACUAAUAAUAAUAAUAUUAAUAAUAAGUCACGUGGAACGGGUCUGAUUUUACGUAACGGUCGUGAUGUUCGCCGUUAGCCAUCCGAAUCAACCCUAAACUAUAUUGAUUGCAAGAGAAUUGGAAAAAAGGCGAGAGGAAAAUGGAAGAUGAAAAGUAACUUACAGCGUAAUUGAGACCGGUGAGGUCACCGUCGCCACUUUUCAGCCAAUCGACGAA